rnacentral:lncRNA from 1 species
UAAAAUCUAGUACUCCCUCUAUUCCAUUAUAUCUGUCGUUUAAGGAUUCUUUGCAACAUUUAAGAAAUAUUUAACAUGACUAUUUUGCUCUUAAUAAAUGAAUUAAACAGAUAGAAACAAGGGAGAAGAUGGAACGUCAGUGACUCAUCCAAAGUUAGCACUUCUACUUCUACACUUCUUCUUCUUCUAGGCCUUAAUAUAUGCCUUAAUCGAUUCUACCGACUAAGCAUACAUAUUCUACCGAUUAAGCAUACAUAUUUACUGAGGUAUCCUCUUUUAUGAGAAAGAAUGAUGGAACGCUAGGCCUUAAUCGAUUCUACCGAUCUGCUCUGCGCUUCUUCUUCUACACUUCUUCUUCUUCUACAUACAUAUAUGCUCUGCGCUUCUUCUUCUUCUAAUACAUAUUUGGCUGCUUUUUGAGCCACAAAAAUUGAAGCCAAAAAUAAUAGAAAAUUUUUGUUUAAAAAAAAGAAGAAGAGUAAAGUGAAUAAAGGAUGGAAAGCUUCUGCUUCUGCUUUCUCUCUCAAAAAAAAAAAACCCUCUCCCUUUUUCUCUCAUCCGGUGGACGGUUCAAAGGUAGUAUUGGAAUAAAAGUGAACAAUUUAGCUUUGGACUUUUAAAACGUCUAUUAUUUUGGAAAAAAUAAAAAUUCUUUAAACGUCAUAUAUAAUGAAAUGAAGGGAGUAAUAAUCAAGUAUGUUAUCAAUAUAUUCUUAUUUAUUUAAUUAUUUUAGUCCAUUACUCCUCUUUAUUUUUUCAAAGCCUUCUAUGUUUAGUAACUUAUACUUUAAAUAAGUGUUUCAGUAAAGCUGCCUUUUUAAAAUUAAUUAUAAGCAAAAUUACUGAUUACAUACUACAGCGAUCCCAAACGUAUUCUUAUAAUCUUAUUUUUCAGACCCUCUUCUCUCGUAUUCCCAAAUUUCUAAUAAACCUCGAAGUCCCUUUCCCUCCCCUCUCUCGCUCGCUCGCUCGGUCAAAGGUAAGCGAUUCAUCGAUUUAUUCUCUUUUUAAUCGAAUUUCGAUUUCAUUGAUUUGAUGUCUUUCUCUAAUCGAAUUGAAGUUGUUUCUUUAUCUUCAAUAUUAUAAGUACAAUUUUGCAAAUUUCUAGUGGUUUUAUCUGUUUAAGUUUCGAUUAAUGUUUGUUCCCAUUUUCAGUGAUUUGAUUCGUGUUUAUCAUUAAUGGAUCCUCAAUCGGAACCUGUGAGCUACAUCUGUGGAGGUUUGCGUUUCAGUUACCCCUCUAUAUCUAUAUAACGAAUUUUGAAUUUUUCGCUCACCCUAAUAAAUCAUCUGGUCCGUCCAAAGUUUGAGAUAAAUCAGCUAGUAUAUAUAUAUAUAUAUAUAUAGGUAUAUAUAUAAGGAAAUGAUCCAUAAUAUGUAUUUGUUAUGGAUGAAAAAUGGGUAAAUAUCAUCAUAACUAACGGAUGACAAAACUGUGUUUUAAAUCUCAGCCAUUAAUUUAUGUAAUAUAUAUAUAUAUAUAUAUAUAUAUAUAUAUAUAUAUAUAUAUAUAUAUAUUUAUUUAUUUAUGUGGGAAAUGAUUUAUUUGCUAUGGAUGAAAAAUGAGCAAAUAACAUCUUAACCAUACAUUACAUAAAUUAAUGGCUGAGAUUUAAAACACAAUUUCGUCAUUCGCUAGUUGAACUAGCGGACACAAAAAAAAUAUUUGGACCAAAUUGCCCCCAAGUCUCAUUAACGCCUUGGCUUUGAAAUUAUGUUUCAGGCCAUCCACUAGUUCAACUAGCGGAACUCUUCUAGUACUCACUAAACUUUUGCAAUUUAGCAUCUAUACUCAAAACUUCUCGCUCAUCAAUUCUACCCUCAACUUCCUCCCACUCAAAAUCAUCAUUAUUAUUCUCAUCUCUACUAUCUUCCAACUGAAGCGAAUCCCAACAAAUUGGAAGACUCGUAUCCUCAUCAUUAUUUUCAUUAUCAUCACCCAAUUCAAAAUCAUCCACACCACCAUUUCCACUGUCCUCCAAAUUGGAGUUGAUACCAACAACCCCCAAACCACCCAUAAAAUAAUCAGGCCCACCAGAAUUAGAGGACUCGCCCGAUUCAGACAAGGUACCAGACCCCCCUCCUCGACACAAAGAACUCGUCGCCGCAAUCAACAACAAUAAACCCAAAAUUAUUAUCAUCACCAGUACAACAUAUCACCAGUAUAACCACCUAACCCUAACCCUAGAUCCAACUCUAAAUUAUUCAAACCCAUUUCGUCAUUCCCUUCAAUUACUCCGAAAUUCAGAUCCAAAUUCAAAUCCAAAUUAGGAUUAGGAUCCGAUUGUUCAACACAUUCAUGAAACAAAUCUACGACGAAAUUUAACUGAUUUUCCCGAUCGAAGAAAUCGAUAUUAUUGAUAGAAGAAUCCGCGUCCGAAGCGCCGUCCACCAAGAUCUAAGAGCGACUGGAGCGGUGGUUUUGGUGCUGAUGAUCUAUUGCGGAGAUUCGAAACUCUGAUGGUGGUAAUUCGAGAUCUUAAGUGUCGAAGCCCUCAUAAAUUAUGAGACGACAAGAAGUGAGUUGAGUCGAGGGAUCUUAAUUUAUGAGUACUAGAGAAAGAGUAGAAGAGUUCCGCUAGUUGAACUAGCGAAUGGACUGAAACAUAAUUUCAAAGCCAAGGCUUUCAUGAGACUUGGGGAUAAUUUGGUCCAAAUAUUUUUUUAUAUGCAUCCGCUAGUUGAACUGGCGGAUGGCGUAUUUGCCUUUUAAUUCUCAGCCAUUAAUUUGUGUAAUGUAUGAUUAUGAUGUUAUUUGUCCAUUUUUCAUACAUAACAAAUACAUGCUAUGGAUCAUUUCCCUAUAUAUAUAUAUAUAUAUAUAUAUAUAUAUAUAUAUAUAUAUAUAUAUAUAUAUAUAUAUAUAUAUAUAUAUAUAUAUAUAUAUAUACGGAAAACCAAAGACGAACAGGUAGUGGCUGGACACCAAAAUAACUCCCUUAUUAAUUAAUUUAUUAAUUAAUUUUUUAAUCUUAGAUGUAAUCAUUAAUUUAUUAACCCCUCAUAUAUUAAACUAACCCAUUAAUGUGUGCCGCUACAAGUUAUAGCAGUUGGACUGUUUACAUUCCUCCAUUUAAAGCUGCAAUUUUAAAAGUUUAAAGCUGCAAUGAUGGUUGACCCUGAAAUGUAUGCCAUGUCGUUUGUUCCAUUUUUCAGGGUCAACUACCAUUGCAGCUUUAAACUUUUAAAAUUGCAGCUUUAAAUGGAAGAAUGUAAACAGUCCAAUCGCUACAACUUGUAGCGGCAAAUAUUAAUGGGUUAGUUUAAUAUAUGAGGGGGUUAAUAAAUUAAUGGGGUUAAUGAUUACAUCUAAGAUUAAAAAAUUAAUUAAUUAAUGGGUUAAUAAAUUAAUAAGGAAGUUAUUUUGGUGUCCACCACUACAUGUUGUAGUGGCACUCAUUAAUGGGUUAGUUUAAUAUUAUAUGGAGGGUUAAUAAAUUAAUGGGGGUUCAUGAUUACAUCUAAGGUUAAAAAAUUAAUGGGUUAAUAAAUUAAUGAGGGAGUUUUAAAAGAUAGGGAUCAAAUUUUAUUGGUCAGUCGCUACAUGUAGCGGCAAACUGAAUAAAAAAGAGAUUUGUACAUUUGUACGAAAAUGUUUAAACAGGUGGGAGUUUAAAAAAAAAUGCCCAAAAGUGGGACCCAUUUGUACAUUUAGUUUGACCAGUGGGAUUUUUAAAAAGAAAAUUGUUGGAAAAUAAUGGGUUAACCGCUACAUGUUGUAGCGGCACUUAAGAAAAUUUAAAAGUGGGGUCCAUUUGUACUUUUGUUUGACCAGGUUGGACCCAAUAUUAAAAUAGAAGCUGGUACAUGUAGUUAUGUGUGCCGCUACUGGUUGUAGCUGCUGGGACUAUGUCUUUUAAUCUUAGUCUUCCAUGUUUUUGAUAACAGCUCUGAUGUUGGUUGCUGGAAUAGUGACUCUAGCAACCGAUUGUCAUGGAUUGAAAUCCUAUAUAUAUAUAUAUAUAUAUAUAUAUAUAUAUAUAUAUUACAUAUUUUUCAUACUUGUUAGACAUUUUGUUAAUUUGUUAUGGGCUUGAAUUUGUUGUGUAGAUUGUGGGUAGGAAAAUAUACUGAAGCCUGGGGAUGUGAUUCAGUGUCGGGAGUGUGGUUACCAUAUUUUGUACAAAGAACGUACCCGUAGAAGUAAGGGCAGAUCCAUAAAUUUUUCCUAGUAGGGGUGGAUUUUAACUACUUUUUUUUGUUGAAGUUAAAUAAAAAAAACUUGAACUAAUCAUAAUAAUGUUUACAAAUUGCAAUAAAUAUUCAUAAUUUAAACUAAAAAAGAAAUUUUAAAUAAAAAAUGUUUAGAUUCAAUUUAGAAGAAAAGAGUAGAAUGAAUGUACGUUUGUCUAUAUAUUUGUAUUUAAAAUAUCAAUGAAUUUUUUUUGCCCUUUCCAAGUUUAACUAUUCCAUUAAUCUGUCCACUUAAAUUUAUUCACUUACAUAUUUGCCUAUACCCUAUACCUAUAUACAGAAAAAUCUAGCAGAGGCAGCUGCCUAUGCUUCCCCCUAAAUGGAUCCACCCUUGCAUAGAAGUAAUCACUUUUAAUAAUUUCUCAUGUCCUUUAUUAGGGUUACUUUUACUAUGUUCCAGAGAUAUUUUGGGCAUGAUCGUUGUAGGCUAUAUCUAUUUCAUUAUUUGUAUCUAAUUUUUUUGGUAAUGGCCGUCUUUUUCUGCCCUUUGAUUUGUGUUGGCCUUCUUGUUUUGGGGAUUUUUUAAAAUUAAACUCCAUUAUCUUUUCUUAAAUUCCUAGGAUAUAUUGAUAAAGUUUCAUUUUUUAUUUGUUAAUAAGGCACAUGCCAUUUAGGUUGUGUUUGAUAAACCUGAAUGUUAAGAUCGGAACAGUUUAGACAUUUGAAUAAUGUAGAGCAUUUAUCUAAAAUUGUAUUUAAAUAAAGAAAUAUUGUCUGAUAAUUAAUUUUUUUUAAUUGUCUGAAUAAUAUUAUUUUACCACUUUAACCUUUAAGCAAAACCCUCACUUCCCCUGCAUUUCCCCAUCUCUGUCUCUCAUCUCUCUCUCCGUCUCCGUCUCUUCAUCUUUCCCUCCUUUCUCAUUUCUAGCAAAGAAGAGAAAGUAAAAAAGAAAAAGAAAUAGCUAGACAUCCCAUUUUCUUCUUCUUUUUUCUUUUUUUUCUUCGUAUUCUGGAUAUUGUUAGGUUGGAUGACGAGGUAGAUUAGAGACAUGGAUUUGUGCUUGGUUGAUUUUUUUAAUUUUUUUUAAAUUUUAUUCAUGGUGGAAUUGUAGAUCUAGUUUGUUAUUCUGGGUGUGUAUAUAUAUAUAUAUAUAUAUAUAUAUAUAUAUAUAUAUGUGUGUGUGUGUGUGUGAGAAAAAUGUAUGUGCACAGCUGUGUAUUACACAGUUGGUUAUGGCAACAGAUUUUUGGGCUAUAGUGACGGUUUCACCUGUCGCCAUAGCUAUUCUGGGCUACGGCGACGGAUGAACCGUCGCCAUAGCCCAAAAAACCAGUUGCCAUAGCCCAACUGUGUAAUACACACCUGUGUAUAUACAUAUAGCCUAUAAAUGUGUUUUUUUUCCUGGAUCAGAUGGUGGGCUUCUUCGUGACUAGCGGUUUAAUGGCAGAUUAUUGGUCAACAAUUUUACCCACUUCUGGAAGAUGAAGGAAGAAGAAGUAAAUAGAUGCCAGAUUCAAGAAUGGUAUCCAAAAUUCAAAUCAACCUCAAUAAAAACCUUAAUUCAUGAACUUCCUGAAUUCUUUGUUCAAUACCUUCUUGAUGAUUUUGGUUCCUUUGUUCUUCCUCUUUCCAUAUCAAAUUAUGAUGCCUUGCCCACUUUGAAAUCUGUUUAGAUGCGGAUUGAUUAGGGUUAUUGGGGAUAAAAGAGGAAUUUCGUAAUAUUAAAGAGGUCAUUUUUGUCCAAAAAAUAGUCAAUUUCGUUCAAAUGGACAUCUAAAUGGUUUGAAUUUAAUUUUGUAUCUUAACGAUUUAGACGUAUUCAGAGCCAAAUUUUUUUUUAGCAAACAACUUCAUGUCUCUUAGCGAAUAAGAGAUGGCCUGUUAAGAUGCAUUCAAUUGCAAUCAAACACCACCUUAGUCUUUGUAUCAACAUUUGUAAAUUUGUUCUUGUCAUUAUUAUAUACAUAAUCUCCAUGUUAGUUCAAUAAGGGGCUCAUUGCUCAAUCAAACUAUAGCGGCUUCAAUUUUGUAUAUUACAAUGUUCUGAUGACUUGAGCCCAACUGCUCGGUGACUGAUAUGACUGGUUCUAAAAGUCUAUUUCAUAUAUAUUAGAUGGUUUCUCAAGCUAUAAAAGUACGAUGUUACCAAAAUCAGCUUAGCUCAUCUUGUUGUUUAGUUGGAAACCUAGUUUUAAGUGUUAUGGUAAUGACUUGCAUCAAUAUGAAAAACGUGUUAGGUUCCCUGACAGAUAAUGAAAGGAGCCUUGUAUCUUACUCUUUGGAAUAGGUCUACUUUGAAGUACUCCCUCCGUCCCAGGAUAAAAGUCUUUAUUACUAUUUUGGGUAGUCCCAAGUUAAAUGUCUACUUUCUUUUAAUAACCAAAAUUUUACACAAUUUUUUUUAUUAUACCCUUAGCAUUAAAUAUUUCAUACUUUUUUAAUUCUAAUUCUCUUCAUAUUUAAUAAGUAUAAUUAGUUAUGUGUUGAAAAUAUUUUGAAUUGUAAAGUUAGAAAGUCUCUCUCACCUACAUUGGAAAUGAUUAAUGAAAUAUUAUUAUGGGUAAUUUUGUCAUUUCAUUCCUCUUCUUAAUAUGCGUGAAAAGUCUACCAAGACUUUUAUCGUGGGACGAAGGGAGUAUAUGAUAUUAGUGCUCUAUGAGGCCUUUCUCUUUCUUCUAUUGUCUCAUUGUUAUGCCGAGCAAAGCUUUUUGAAGACUGUAUUACUUUAUCUUUGGCAAGCAAGGGAGAUAGUUAUUUUUGCCUUUACGUCUUUCUGUUUUAUCAGUUUGCCACAAUGAACUUCUAUGAUUACAUAAUUUGAUGUUUAAGAGAUAGUGUGACGCCCUCAAAAUAGGUAUACAACACCCAUUCUGAGUCGCCAAAUACAUGGUACAGAAAGCAAACUACAAUUUCGAUAAUACAAUUGUCGUGCAAAAUACGACAACACAUACUGUGAGUUUAAAUACAAAUAUUGUCUUCUAGACAAUAUCCACACCCAAAUAAGUCCUCAUUACAAUUAUUCAUACACUAUUUUACAGAAAUAGUGAGGACAACUAAAAUAUCUUUCUAGAACCAUCACUCCAUACCCCGACUCGAUCCUGCUAUGUUCUCACCUCCUGAGAAGAAAAAUGGAACAAAAAGGAAAAGGAUGAGCUCAACUAUCCGAGUAAAGAAUAUUAUGAUUAAGAUAAUAUACAACAAAUUAUCAUUAGUCUUCAACAGGAAAAAAUCUGAUAGAAUAUAAUAGACAACAAGUUUUAGAUCAACAAACACAACGGAAACAGCAAUCCAUUAGAAGAGUCACGUAGAGAAUGAAUUCUACUAUCUUUUAAGAUUUAAGAGUCCAUCAUCAAUAUUUUGUCCCUGUAACAUCAAUCAAUAUACAUCUUUUAAUCAAAUAUUCAUCUUUGCACUACAGGCCAAAGAUAUUCAUUUAUUUCACCAGUUGGUCAUGUUCAUCUCAAUACCUGUUCAUCUUUGCACUACGGGCCAAAAAUAUUCAUCAGUUAAUCAUCCAUCUUUGCACUACAGGCCAAAGAUAUUCAAUAAUAUCAUCAUUAAGGACUGAGGAUGAUGAAAAACAUUUUAGAGAAUGAAUCCAGUAAGACAGAAAAACAAAUAUUAGAGAUUCGUAUAACAGUUUAUCCAAGAUCAAUAUUACUUCAUAAUAAUCAAUUGUGAAACAGAAUUCAAAAUAAAGAUCAAAACAUGGAUACAAUCAAAGAUAGUAACCAUAAUAGACAUCUUGGACAAAAAGAAGAAAAUUUUAUUUUUCGGUGAAUAGUGUCGUAUACGUGAAUAGUGCCGCCGACACAAAAAGUUUCAAAUUUGAUUAAAAAGUUCACCAAUAUUUCGGCAUAAUGAUAUUGAAGAAAAUAAUAUCAUCUAAGAAGAAAAUAACAUCUCUUACCUCAAAAUAACGGUACUUCUGAUCGGAAUAUCGGAUAGAAAGCCGAAGGAAACUUGUACCGAACAGCAACUCUCAAAGUAUCAAAAUACUUACAAAAAUACACUCGAGAAUCUAGAGAGAAAGAAAACUUGUUUCUGGUGUGAUUUUCAAUUCUAACCUAAGCGUCUAUUUAUAGAAAAAUGCUAGAACGCCAAAGGAGACUAAAAUAAUAGAAUAUUAUUAUUUCAAAACUCAUUUCUACGCAUGCCCAAAGACCAAGACUAGCAUGCCAUUUCUGAAAAAAAUCCCAGCAGCCCACAUGUAUUCCACCAACCAAAAGUGGGUCCCACCCAUAAAUUUAAUAAAAAUCAUUUUAUUUUUCGAAAUUUCAAUAAUUCAUAGAAAAUAGCCCGUUUAUCAGAAAAAUACGAAUUUUAUGUCCAUUCUGUCUGAAAUCGAAUUCCUUACAACUUUGUAGCUUUGAGUUUUUUCAAAUUCCAAACCGAAAAUAUCUGAAAUCCACAAACGGAUAAUUUUUAAUACCUCCCUUCCGACAAAAAUACUGAUAAAACAUCUCAGCAUUAAUUCCUUCAUUUAUAACCACAUAAAAUAAAUAAAUCCAUCAUUUAUAUCCACAUCAAAUAAAUAUUUUCUUAUCAUAUAAAUCAAUAAUUAACUAUUCACAAAUAAUAUUACAGAAUCACAAUUAUGACAAUCAGGUCGUUCCCAGGAAAUAGGGGGCUUUCCAAUAAGGAUUUCUCCUUAUUGGCGCGCAAUUAGGUGACCAAACCUCUCCUUAGACAGAACUUUCUAGACAUUGCCAAUAAUGUUAUCUAAUAAUAUUAUACAAAUAAUAUGAAUUAUUGAUCUGAUAAUGAGAAAUACUGUGCAGUGACAAUUAUUGAAACAACAAUAAUAUAAAAUAUCAACGUAGUAAUUAUUGAAUCAAUAAAAUAAAAUAUUGAACAGUAACUACUGUAACAAUUAUUGAGUAGUGCCUUCUUACUUACGAAUCAAUAAUUCAACAAUACUGUGCAAUACCGUGUACUACUGUGCAACUACGCAUAUUACUGUAUUUUAACCACCAGGUAACCCAACAGUGUUAACGGUAACAAUUACGUCAUUAUUCAUAAAAACUCAUACUUUGUCGUUUUCUUCAUCCGACAGUUAUUCCGUUAUGAGCCCACAAAUGGUUGCGCCGUCGUACGAAUAUUCUCCGACAAAAAGAAUAUUCCACGACCAAAAAAAUAUUCCCCAACAAAAAUGAAUAUUCUAUAACCACUUGCUUAUUUUGUAAAAUUUGCACAUUUCACCCAUAACCAAAGCAUUAUAUCAAAUUAACACCUUAUUAAUUUAGAAUAAUGAAUAGAGGAAAAAUUCAAUUUUAUUCAUAAUAAGUUGGGGUCUUACAACCUCCCCUCCUUAUAAAAUUUCGUCCUCGAAAUUGCUGUACGUACCUGGUGUUUCGAAAAGAUGAGGGUACCUCGCUUUCAUUUUCGAUUCCAACUCCCAUGUCAUUUCCUCAAUUUCAUGGUUUCUCCUCAAAAUCUUGACUUGUGGUAUAACCUUCGUGCGUAGAACAUGCUCUUUCCUAUCCAAAAUCUUAACAGAUACCUCCUCGUACGUUAAAUCUUCGGCUAUCUCGUCUGGUUCUAUCGCAAUAAUGUGAUUCGGGUCUUUCACAUAUUUACGAAGCAUAGAUAUGUGGAAAACAUUGUGAACACGAGACAUACUUGGAGGUAAUGCGAGUCUAUAGGCCACAUUUCUUAUUCGGUAAAAAAUCUCAAAUGGACCAACAAACCUUGGAUUGAGUUUUCCCCUCUUUCCAAAUCUUGUAACUCCCUUGCAUGGAGCAAUAUGUAACAACACAUGAUCCUCAAUAUUAAAUUCCACGUCCUUUCGAUGAAGAUCAGCAUAACUCUUUUAUCAAUCCUGUGAGGUUUGAAUACGUUGUCGAAUCAUUUGGAUCUUUUCUGUAGUCAUGCGUACUAAUUCCGGUCCCAACAAAGUUGCUUCACCCACCUCGUCCCAGCAUAUUGGAGAACGACACUUUCGUCCAUACAACGCCUCAAAUGGAGCUAUGCCUAUACUUGCUUGAUAACUGUUGUUGUAAGAGAAUUCCACCAAUGGCAAGUACUUAUCCCAACUUCUUUUGAAAUCUAGGACACAUAGUCUUAAUAAAUAUUCAAGGGUUUGAAUAGUCCUUUCCGAUUGCCCGUCUGUUUGAGGAUGGUAUGCCGAACUAAAUCGUAAAUCCGUGCCCAUAGCUUUCUACAAGCUACCCAAAAUCGUGAAGUAAAUCUUGGGUCACGUUCCGAAACUAUGGAUACUGGCAUGCCAUGCAAUCUCACAAUCUCAUUUACGUACAUACGAGCAAGACGUUCAAGGGAAUAAUUACGCCGUUAACGGUAACAAUUACGCCGUUAUUCAUAAAAACUCAUACUUUAUCGUUUUCUUCAUCCGACAGUUAUUCCGUUAUGAGCCCACUAAUGGCUGCGCCGUCGUACGAAUAUUCCCCGACAAAAAGAAUAUUCUACGACCAAAAGAAUAUUCCCCGACAAAAAUGAAUAUUCUAUAACCACUUGCUUAUUUUGUAAAAUUUGCACAUUUCACCCAUAACCAAAGUAUUAUAUCAAAUUAAUACCUUAUUAAUUUAGAAUAAUGAAUAGAGGAAAAAUUCAAUUUUAUUCAUAAUAAGUUGGAGUCUUACACAUAGUUGUAUGCAUUUGGUGGAAAAAGAAUUAAAGUGGGAAGGGUUUAAAGUGGUAGACAUGGAGAAAACAUACAAUUAGUUUAGUUGUAAAAAGAUGUACUCUUAGUUAUUUGAUUGAUUAUUCUCCUAUUGGGAUUUUGGUUUGAUGAUGGAGUAUCUAUCGUAUAAGCAUCGACUAUUUUCAUUUUCUUUGUUGUUUUUCUGUCUUUUCCUUUCCUUUCCUUUGUUUUCCCACAAGUUUUUUGAGCUCAAAAUGUACACUAAAAGACAACAGAAGGAAAAAGUUAAUAUUCCUGGUCAUACUUGUUUAAAUCAAUAAUAAUUCUUUGUUGACUACUGAACUUUCAGAUAAUUUGUCCUUUACACAUGGAAGCUGUUGUGGAUAAUUAUUAUCUAUCAUUCAUGGUUGGCAAAUGUAACUUUUAGCUAGGUUUGUUGUUUGGGUUAUUUGGUUAAAUUCUCUCCUCAAUUUGAGCUAUAAUAAUGUAUUGUGAACGUGAUGAUGGUUGCAUUGAACUAACAUAUGAGACUAGUCAGAAAGCUUUUGUUCCUGAAUAAUUUGUGACGUUUUAUUACGUAGUGUUGUUACCUUGGCUGGCUUAGAUAUUUUAUAUUCCUGGAAUCCAUAUUAGCUGGGAUAAAGCUUUUCCUCUGCAGGGUCCUUGUGCAGUAAACCCUCUACGGGCUCUUGAUUUGAUAAUUUCACAUUUCCUCCUUUAACUUUAUUAUUCCUUGAGCAUUGGCAUUAACCAUGAAUCUGCUUUAUUCCUUUUAUUAUUCUUUGCUGCAGUUGUUCAGUAUGAAGCACGAUGAAGAAGUCGAUUGGGAAGCAAUCUGAAGAAGAUGAUGGGGGCCUACAAAUAAAGGACUGGAAACAAAUGUUAAUCAUGCUUGCCAUCACCUUAAGACUUUUUAUGUCAAUCUGCAAGAACUCUGGACUAGACAACUAGCAUUUUCUGGAUGUUGAUUCAAGUGAUAAUAUAUUGUCAAAUGCGUUGUCACCUUAAAUUCAAAAUUGAAGUUAGGAGAUUUUACCUUUCAGUGUCUUUCAAAGUCGUUAAUUUGAGCGUUCAAGUUUAGUUGGGUCUUUCUUCCUUGUUUCACGUCCAUUAGUGUUCAAAUUUAGUUAUCUUCUUCCUUGAACAAGCUUGUUCCAACUCGUAUGGCGCCUGCUACCAGUAUUAUGUCUUGGGGCUGUACAAAAACUAGGGGCAAACCUAAUGAAAUACUCACUGUAGGGGGGUGUUUUACUGAUUACACCAUUAAAUUUUUAAUUUUUUAAAUUAUUCUAUUAAAUUAAUUAUUAUUUUGAAAUUGGGUCAUUUUGUUAAAAAAAAAUAAACGGAAGUUAAUUUUUUAUUGACAAAAUUAAUGUAGUUGGCAUGUUUUAUUGAUUAUAUUAUUGAACUUUUAAUUUUUUAAAUUAUCAUAUUAAACUAAUUAAUAUUUUAAAAUUGGGUCAUUGAAAAUUGUUUUAAGCUUCAUCUUUCACUUUGCAACAAAAAAUCUGAGUACAUUAUAUUGUUUUUUAAAAAAGUUUCAAAAAGAGAAAAGAUGAUUGUUGAAACAAAUGGAGUUUACUAAAAGUUGUUGAAGUGUUUGGUAAUAACAGCAUAUACACUUUUCAUGUGUUUUUUUUUUUUUNN